GGGGUUUUAGUAUAAUGGUAAUGCACAUGACUUUUAAUCAUCAAGAUAUAGGUUCGAAUCCUAUAAACCCCA
rnacentral:tRNA from 1 species